rnacentral:rRNA from 1 species
CCUACGGGAGGCAGCAGUGAGGAAUAUUGCGCAUGGAGGCACUCUGACGCAGCCAUGCCGCGUGCAGGAAGAAGGCGCUACGCSUUGUAAACUGCUUUUAACCGGGAAGAAACCCCAGGACGUGUCCUGGGUUGACGGUACCGGAGGAAUAAGCACCGGCUAACUUCGUGCCAGCAGCCGCGGUAAUACGAAGGGUGCAAGCGUUAUCCGGAUUCAUUGGGUUUAAAGGGUGCGUAGGUGGGGCGUUAAGUCAGUGGUGAAAGCCUACAGCUCAACUGUAGAAUUGCCAUUGAUACUGGCGCUCUUGAGUGCGCUUGAAGUAGGCGGAAUGUGCCGUGUAGCGGUGAAAUGCUUAGAUAUGGCACAGAACACCAAUUGCGAAGGCAGCUUACUAAGGCGAUACUGACACUGAGGCACGAAAGCGUGGGGAUCGAACAGGAUUAGAUACCCUGGUAGUCCACGCCGUAAACGAUGAUCACUCGUCAUUGGCGAUAUACGGUCAGUGACCUAACGAAAGCGUUAAGUGAUCCACCUGGGGAGUACGAUCGCAAGAUUGAAACUCAAAGGAAUUGACGG